AGAGCGAACGCUGGCGGCAGGCCUAACACAUGCAAGUCUAACGCCCCGCAAGGGGAGUGGCAGACGGGUGAGUAACGCGUGGGAACAUACCCUUCGGUUCGGAAUAACUCAGGGAAACUUGGGCUAAUACCGGAUACGUCCGUGAGGAGAAAGAUUCAUCGCCGAAGGAUUGGCCCGCGUAAGAUUAGCUAGUUGGUGAGGUAACGGCUCACCAAGGCUAUGAUCUUUAGCUGGUCUGAGAGGACGAUCAGCCACACUGGGACUGAGACACGGCCCAGACUCCUACGGGAGGCAGCAGUGGGAAUAUUGGACAAUGGGCGCAAGCCUGAUCCAGCCAUGCCGCGUGAGUGAUGAAGGCCUUAGGGUUGUAAAGCUCUUUCGGCGGGACGAUAAUGACGGUACCCGCAGAAGAAGCCCGGCUAACUUCGUGCCAGCAGCCGC
rnacentral:rRNA from 1 species